ensembl:lncRNA novel transcript
GCACUUUGAAUAUCUUGGCAACUGUCAGAAGAAAAAACAUCAAACUGACUGUUUUCUCCUGCUGCAUUCUCACCAUGAUACUCUCAAGACUUUACUUCUGUGAUGUGUAGUCCUCCCUCCCCACCCCGACACACCAAGCAAUUCUCUGGCAGACACCAGCACGGUGUCCUAAAUUUAAUUCAACUCUGACACUGUCUAUCUGGAAUUAGAGUCAGAUCUCACGGAUCAAGGGCUCAGUCCCACAAGACUGCCCUCUACGUCAGAUACCAAUGGCAAGUCUGGGGCUCUGAACUUCUGACCAACUGGAGAUGAAUUGUGGCCUCCUAUAAAGCCCCUCUUCUGGCUCAAGCAUUUGUUGGAAUGGCUCACAAAACUCAGGAAGGACCCACGUGUGAAGCCUGUGAGUUUGAUUGCACUGCAGGAGGACCCCCUAAAGCUACUGCUGCAAAAUGCUCCUAGAGCAAAGGCCCUUCAGGGUCCAGGUGACCAUGGUACUGCUGGCUUGGAGACCACACUCUGAGGGGCCAGAAUAGAGGCAAUUGCUCAGCUCUCCAUUUUUGUGUUAAACGCAUUUACACCCUCACUGAUUGUUUGGUGUUACAUUAUCUUCUUUCAAGGAGAAUUCAUUUGCAUGAGGCAUGUAGUGGAGGUCAAUUGUCUUUUCUGCAGUUUGCCUCACUUCUCUUAUGGAACUGCCAUGAAACCCCAUCCAUGGGCAAUGCUGCUAUUGGAUCCCACUGAUCACAGGGAUGGUCAUGUAACCUAAGUGGAGCCAGUUAGAAUAUUUCUCUGGGCCUUUCUUUUGAAAUGUAUUCAAGGAAAGAGAUUAUCUUACACUCUGACUGUAAAGAUGAGAAGACGUAAGUCCUAUAAUUACCAGUCGCCUUGAGUUCAGCCUCAUGGAGAAACACAGCAUGAAGAAUUGAAGGUGACAUUCACAAAGAAGCUAGUGAGGACAACAGCUGGGUCAGCAUUCAGUCUUUGGCACGUUCUAUCUGUGGUUUUAUCAUGUGCCAAAACCUUCCCUAUGCUGCCUAAGCUUGUUAUGUUGAAUUCCUUGGGAAACACAAAACUUUGACUUAUUCAUGCUCUGACUCAACAGUUUCACUCCAGCCCUACCAGUACCUCACUUCCCAAGAGUCCACCUCAUACCUUGAGUGUCAGAGACAUGGACCUUUUUUUCAGUUGAAAAUGUGACAGGAAUAAGUAUUUUAUAUCUUUUUUAUGAAGACUUGAAUUGUAUCAAGCCUUGGAUUUAAUGGCAUAUUAUGGAGUCUAUGAUAGAACAUCAUUUGGCUCUUUGAUAAUUUGUAAAACAAUAGAAUAUGAGCAGGAACAUUCUUGGAUUUGGUUUGUGGAACAUGAGAGAAUUAGGCUUUGUAGCUUAGAAGAUAAGUUCCUGAGAGCAGAGAAGCAGACACAUCAAUAUAUUUGAUUACCAGUAAACAGAGAAAGGAGAGCACAGGACAUUUUUAGUUGACAUUGAGGAGAAGGGAAAAGGAGAGAGCAGAACUUAAAAAAAAAGAAAA